rnacentral:lncRNA from 1 species
GCUCUUCUGUUUUUGAGCUAAAUUUAUUCUCUAGAUGCAUAGACGUACUUCUGUAAUUUUCCAGAGGACUAAAACCAGCUUCAUUUCAUGCUACAUGUUUCUUGGCAGGGUAGAUGCAGCAUUGCCAAGAGACUGAGCAGCGAUGUAUCAGAGUUACCUCUUUCAUCUGCAAAGGGUGCUUUGUGCAGUCGUGGACAGGGAAGGGAUAUCCUCCUGUGAUGGAGCUCUGAGGGAAGGUGUUGUGGAUGAUGGUGGCCGCUCCUUUCAAGCUUGGACCUAAUUUGCAAGUAUAGAGCGUGCAGUGCGCAGUGCAGGACGUCUCGACCCGAGCUGCCUCUGCAGUGACUCUGAUGCGUGAUAAGCUGAGGUAGCUGUUAUUUUUGGGGUGCGGUUGUUACUGCAGUUAUUUUCCUUCGUUCAAUAGAGUAAAAUUCCAGUUUGCCUUUUAGAAGUGCUGUAAGUGGCUAAUGAGAACAGAUGGAAGCAUCUGCUAUGUGGGGCAGGCAAGCGGCUGAGGUACAGGAGGGGAUGAAAGUAUGUGAUUUUUUUCUGGGGAUGGAAUGGAAUUGAUUUUGUUGGUGUAUAAUCUGUUCUGAUCCUGGAUUUUUCUUUCUAAGUUUAAAAAUAAUAAUAAAAUUUGAGCUAAUACCA